GAUAACUCAUGUUAGGUGGAAUCUCCUUACUUAUCUUUGAGACAUUAUGCCAUUCAUUAGUUCUUCUAAGGUUGUAGGCUCACGCAAACCCUUUAGCUCUAAUACUACUAAUGCAAGCCAUCAACUAGGCCAUUCCCAAGGCCAUGAAUAAGGUGCCCUUUUGUUUUACUAACCUUAUCAGAAUAAGGGGACCGUAGCAAUAAAUCAAGAAUUAUGCAUAGUAAUAUUAUUAAAUUUAGUGGACAAUAUUAAAAAUAAUCUGCCUCAAGGGGGCAAUGGGGCAUGUAAAUUCGCCCGUGCGUACAGGGAUGCUGCGCAGGACAUGCUUGAUCUGUUUUUGGGUCCCUUGCUCAAGAAACUGCUCUAGAGGAUGAGAAGAGAAGUGCGUUUACGAAGGAUGUGGAUUUGGUCUAUGAGUUGAGAAGGCAAAGUUAGAAUGAUGUUGCAGAAGAAAUAGUUCUCCUGAAUAUGAAGAAAAACAGUGUCAAAGACAAGAUGCUCUUGAGGAUGAUGAUCGGAUGAAGGUUGUAUUUCAGGUGAUUGUCUUAUUAUUUGAAAAUCUAGCUGACGAGUUUAGUCGAUCAUAUGGUAAAAGGAUUUAGAUUCUUGAAUCUGUUGCGAAAGUUCGGUCAUGUGUGAUGAUGUUGGAUCUUGAAUGUGAUGUUUUGAUAAUUGAGAUGUUCUAGCAUUUUUUUUUUUAAUGAUAUAAGGGAUCAUCACCAAGAGAAUAUCUUUUUCAUUCAUGGAGACAGCCAUUAGAAGAAAUUUAAGACGUCUCUCCAAAAUUGCUUUCUCCUCUUUUAGCUAUUGUAAAAAGCGGCAAUGUGGAAGUUCUACCUGUUGCUUGUGAGUUGGGAUAAAAAGUACUUCAAAGUUGUGCUAACAAGGUUAAGCCUUACUUGCAACAUGUUGUGCAAUCAUUGUGUAUUUCCUUAGAUGAUUAUAGUGAAAUAAUGCCUCUAUAUGCCAAUUUGGUACUGUUGAACAAAAUGAUGCCCAUGAUACUGAUGUAACUAUGUUAAAGAAAGCAAAUCAGUUGGAGUGUCAUUGCUGAUAAAGAAAUAACAGCUGCAGCAGGUUCUCCUAAUCAAGCUGAUCCUAUAAAUAAUAAAUCUUCUAACUCGGUUGUUUCAAUGGUGUUGCACAGAAUGGUGAAGGCGAUUCCUUGGCAGAUUCUUGUUCCUUAAAGACACAAGAUGAUGGUAAUCAUACUGAUCAGUCAAAAAGCAUUGACAUGUUCAGCAAUAUUAAGAAUGGUAUUUUGGAUACCAAGAAGAAAGUUAAAAGUCUAUCUAAUUCUCUUUUCCUAUUACAUUCACCAGCAUUCAGUUGCAGUUGUGACUGAUUUUAUCUUUUCGAUCUUCUUGGGGAUGUGAGGAAAGAAUAAAGUUCUUCAUUCAAUCGUAUUGCUACCAUCAAAGAAGAUGAAGUUGCUUGUUCUUCAAAUUCAGUUUCUGAUUCUUCACCACAACAAAACUCAAGGUUGAGUUUUCUCUAAUGAGAGGAGAAUGAUGUAGUUAAUGAAUAUUCAAUUUAUGAAUUAUGUUGAUUUAAUUUUUCAUUAAAAUUUAAUUAGGAAGUAAUAUUUUUAUUAUUUAAGAAUAUAUAAAGAGUUUUUAGGUUUAGUAUUUUCCUAUUUAGCAUUGGUUUGGGAUUCCUAAUCAGAGAUUGCUUAGUAAUUUCUUGUUUAGAGUUCUAACAGGACUAGUUAAUAAACUAUAAAUACUUAUGUCUUCUACAUAUUUUGAUAGAGUUUACUAUGAUAUUAUUAUUGAGAAUUAAUUAAAUUUGAGUCCAUAUUGAGAA